UACGGAGGGUCCGAGCGUUAAUCGGAAUUACUGGGCGUAAAGCGCGCGUAGGUGGUUCAGUCAGUCAGAUGUGAAAGCCCCGGGCUCAACCUGGGAACUGCACCUGGUACUGCUGAGCUAGAGUACGGUAGAGGGUAGUGGAAUUUCCGGUGUAGCGGUGAAAUGCGUAGAGAUCGGAAGGAACACCAGUGGCGAAGGCGACUACCUGGACCGAUACUGACACUGAGGUGCGAAAGCGUGGGUAGCAAACAGG
rnacentral:rRNA from 1 species